GAUGAACGCUAGCGGCAGGCUUAAUACAUGCAAGUCGUGGGGCAGCAUGAGUAGCAAUACUUGAUGGCGACCGGCAAACGGGUGAGGAACACGUACACAACCUUCCUUCAAGCGGGGAAUAGCCCAGAGAAAUUUGGAUUAAUACCCCAUAAUAUAUUUGAUAAGGCAUCUUAUUAAUAUUAAAGCUUCGGCACUUGAUGAUGGGUGUGCGGCUGAUUAGAUAGUUGGCGGGGUAACGGCCCACCAAGUCUACGAUCAGUAGCUGAUGUGAGAGCAUGAUCAGCCACACGGGCACUGAGACACGGGCCCGACUCCUACGGGAGGCAGCAGUAAGGAAUAUUGGACAAUGGACGAAAGUCUGAUCCAGCCAUGCCGCGUGAAGGAUUAAGGUCUCUGGAUUGUAAACUUCUUUUAUAU
rnacentral:rRNA from 1 species